UCGAUUUGUGAUUGUGAAGGCAAUGGACUAUGGACUGGUGCCUGGCAGAGUGGUGUGAGUUGAGAGGACGGUGACCGGUGAGCGUGUGUGGCCUGUGACCGUGAGCGAUGAGGAGGUGGACAGUGGAGUCACUGGAGUGGUGCAACCGUGUGGCAUGCGAGUUGAGUGGACGGUGAGUCGAUCACCAGUGGCUGCGACCGCGAGUGAGACUUCUUGCCUUGGUGUCUGAUUAUGAUAACUGGAAAAAUUAUUGCUGAUCUCGAUUCUUGAGUUUAGUUGACACUUUUGUCUUCAUUGCAUUGCAUUGAGGUGAGGUCCCUGUACUUUUUGUGCAAACAAGAGCCUUUACUUGUCUGUAGCUAAAUUUAGUUCAUAAAUGAGAUUUUGUUUCUGAAUCCAUUUUGUUUAGAGGCAUUUACUUUAGUUGUUAAGAAAUGAAGGAAUAAUUGAAUUCCAAAACAGGAGUGAGUGUAGUGUGUAGUGUGAUCAUUUAAUUAGAAAUCUCACUUUUCAAUUGUUUA